UACGUAGGGUGCAAGCGUUAUCCGGAAUUAUUGGGCGUAAAGAGCUCGUAGGCGGUUUGUCGCGUCUGCUGUGAAAACUGGAGGCUCAACCUCCAGCCUGCAGUGGGUACGGGCAAACUAGAGUGCGGUAGGGGAGAGUGGAAUUCCUGGUGUAGCGGUGGAAUGCGCAGAUAUCGAGGAGGAACAUCCGUGGCGAAGGCGGCUCUCUGGGACGGUACUGACGCUGAGACGCGAAAGCGUGGGGAGCGAACAGG
rnacentral:rRNA from 1 species